GGGCCAACAACCACCGGAAUAGGAUUCCCACAAACCCAAGUGUGUCUAAGUCUACAUCCCAUGCUUUCGACCAUAAUGACUCCUCCCUCUCACUGCUUCCUCUCAAGCACCCUUGAGAUAUUUUUUCUUUUCUUUUUAUUUAUUUAUUUUUUUUGAGGCAGGGUCUUACUCUGUCACCUAGGCUAGAGUGCAGUGGCGCAAUCAUAGCUCACUGCAGCCUUGACCUGCUGGGCUCAAGCCCAUCCUCCCACCUCAGUCUCACAAGUAGCUGGGACCACAGGCAUGUGCCACCACACCUGGCUAAUUUUUGUACUUUUUUGUAGAGAUGUGGUUGUGGUAUGUGCCCAGGCUGGUCUUGAGUUCCUGAGCUCAAGCAGUCCUCCCUCCUUGGCCUCCCAAAGUGCUGGGAUUACAGGCGUGAGCCACCAUGCUCAGUACUUG
rnacentral:lncRNA from 1 species